CGGCGAGUGAAGCGGCAACAGCUCAAAUUUGAAAUCUGGCUUCGGCCCGAGUUGUAAUUUGUAGAGGAUGCUUUGGGCGCGGCUCCAACUGAGUUCCCUGGAACGGGACGCCACAGAGGGUGAGAGCCCCGUAUAGUUGGAUGCCUAGCCUGUGUAAAGCUCCUUCGACGAGUCGAGUAGUUUGGGAAUGCUGCUCUAAAUGGGAGGUAAAUUUCUUCUAAAGCUAAAUAUUGGCCAGAGACCGAUAGCGCACAAGUAGAGUGAUCGAAAGAUGAAAAGCACUUUGAAAAGAGGGUUAAAUAGCACGUGAAAUUGUUGAAAGGGAAGCGCUUGUGACCAGACUUGGGCCUGGCGGAUCAUCCGGUGUUCUCACCGGUGCACUCCGCCAGGCACAGGCCAGCAUCGGUUCUCGUGGGGGGAUAAAGGUCCCGGGAACGUAGCUCCUCCGGGAGUGUUAUAGCCCGGGGCGUAAUGCCCUCGCGGG
rnacentral:rRNA from 1 species